CGGGGUGUGGCGCAGCCUGGUAGCGCGCUUCGUUCGGGUCGAAGAGGCCGCCGGUUCGAGUCCGGCCACCCCGA
rnacentral:tRNA from 2 species